CCCUAGCCAGCUUGCUGCUGGCUGGGGAAUUCUGGGAGUUGAAGUCCUCCAGGCUUAAAGUUGCCAAGGUUGGAGACCCCUGGUCUAUACUGUUGAUCUCUAAUAAGACCAGAAGAAGAAAAAAUCGUCUCAAGAAAUUUUACGGUUAUCAUCCACACCAGGGACUAGCAACCGAAGGGGUGCUUACUCAACUGAAGUAAGUCCAGUUGAUCUAAAUGGGGCUCCUUUGUUUGUAAGCAUGGCUUGAAUGGCAGCCUCGGUCUUGUGUCCAAGGCAGAGCUCCUCGUUGUGUUUUCUCUUCUGCUCAGGUGGGACACCUUCGUGCGUUCCUGGGAUUCAUCUGUGCCGCAUCUUGUCGUUUCGAAAUACAGUGCUAUGGGAUCCUGCCGGAGUCUUCCAGAAAGGUCUCCUCUCCCAGACGGCACUGUAAUCCCAGGAUUCCUCAGUCUGAAGAACAGAAAUGCUGUCCCAAAGAGCUAUUUCAGUAGGUCUUUUUAAGAUGCAAAACCUUGCACUCUUUGAUUAUUAUGCAGGAUAUUUUUGUAUGUGUUUUAAAAAAGAAAACGCAGCUAGGAAAAAAUGCUUUCUGCUCGGUUGGUUUUAAAAUUCAUCACAGUCUGCUCACAUGUUGAAUCCCAAGCGUAGACAUUUUCCAAAUGAAGGGGGGGGAAAGCCACAGAAACAUUUAUCCUCCGAGCUGUGGACUUUAUAUGCUGAUUAUUAAGGGGUUGGAAGGGAACAUGAAGAAUGAAAAUAGCGCUUCUGUUACGUUGGUAGAGAUCAAGCUUUCCAACAAGCUCCUGGAAGUUUGGACUACAAUGACCAUUGUCCCCAGCUUGACAGCCUGUAUAUAGGGUAUGAUAGGAACUAUAGUCUAGCAUAGUAUGAGAUUGCCAGUGGUUGGUUUUGUUCAUUGAACCGAACAAGACUUAAAAAUUCAGGAGUCCUUGUGUAGAUUAUAGGGAAAGUCCAAAUGCUUGAGGAAGAUGAAGAAAUACAAAGAGCAAAUACAUUUGUGGCAAGCUAAGCCAUUCUUUGUACGUGAACAACACAAAUAAAUUUUUUUAAAAUUC